rnacentral:rRNA from 1 species
GGGCCCGCACAAGCGGUGGAGCAUGUGGUUUAAUUCGAAGCAACGCGAAGAACCUUACCAGGUCUUGACAUCCUUUUGACCUUCCUAGAGAUAGGAAUUUCCCUUCGGGGACAGAAGUGACAGGUGGUGCAUGGUUGUCGUCAGCUCGUGUCGUGAGAUGUUGGGUUAAGUCUCGCAACGAGCGCAACCCUUGAUCUUAGUUGCCAGCAUUCAGUUGGGCACUCUAAGGUGACUGCCGGUGACAAACCGGAGGAAGGUGGGGAUGACGUCAAAUCAUCAUGCCCCUUAUGACCUGGGCUACACACGUGCUACAAUGGAUGGUACAAAGAGCUGCAAACUCGCGAGGGUAAGCGAAUCUCAUAAAGCCAUUCUCAGUUCGGAUUGUAGGCUGCAACUCGCCUACAUGAAGCCGGAAUCGCUAGUAAUCGUAGAUCAGCAUGCUACGGUGAAUACGUUCCCGGGCCUUGUACACACCGCCCGUCACACCACGAAAGUUUGUAACACCCAAAGUCGGUGAGGUAACCGCAAGGAGCCAGCCGCCUAAGGUGGGAUAGAUGAUUGGGGUG